UACGGGGGGUCCUAGCGUUGUUCGGAAUCACUGGGCGUAAAGCGUUUGUAGGUGGCUUUGUAAGUUGAAUGUGAAAGCCUGGGGCCUAACCCCAGAAGUGCAUUCAAUACUGCAGAGCUUGAGUAUGGGAGAGGAAAAUGGAAUUCCUGGUGUAGUGGUGAAAUACGUAGAUAUCAGGAGGAACAUCGGUGGCGAAAGCGGUUUUCUGGCCUAAUACUGACACUGAAAAACGAAAGCGUGGGGAUCAAACAGG
rnacentral:rRNA from 1 species